AAAUGAAUAGACGGGGACCCGCACAAGCGGUGGAGCAUGUGGUUUAAUUCGAAGCAACGCGAAGAACCUUACCAAGGCUUGACAUGGGAAUGAUCGGUAUAGAGAUAUACCUUUCCUACGGGACAUUCCACACAGGUGGUGCAUGGUUGUCGUCAGCUCGUGUCGUGAGAUGUUGGGUUAAGUCCCGCAACGAGCGCAACCCUUAUCUUUAGUAGCCAUCGGGCAAGCCGGGCACACUAGAGAGACUGCCGUGGAUAACACGGAGGAAGGUGGGGACGACGUCAAAUCAUCAUGCCCCUUAUGUCUUGGGCUACACACGUGCUACAAUGGUUGCUACAAAGUGAUGCGAACCCGCGAGGGUGAGCCAACCACAAAAAAGUAGCCCCAGUUCGGAUUGCAGGCUGCAACCCGCCUGCAUGAAGUUGGAAUCGCUAGUAAUCGCGAAUCAGCAUGUCGCGGUGAAUACGUUCCCGGGUCUUGUACACACCGCCCGU
rnacentral:rRNA from 1 species